rnacentral:rRNA from 1 species
UACAGAGGUGGCAAGCGUUGUUCGGAAUUACUGGGCGUAAAGGGCGCGUAGGCGGCCUUCUAAGUCAGACGUGAAAUCCCCCGGCUUAACCUGGGAACUGCGUCUGAUACUGGGAGGCUUGAGUAUGGGAGAGGGAUGUAGAAUUCCAGGUGUAGCGGUGAAAUGCGUAGAUAUCUGGAGGAAUACCGGUGGCGAAGGCGGCAUCCUGGACCAUAACUGACGCUGAGGCGCGAAAGCGUGGGGAGCAAACAGGAUUAGAAACCCGAGUA